GUGAAAUCAUUAAGAAUCCUGUUUUCAAGAAAAAUGGCUGAGCAGGAGGUGACUACUGUGGAAUGGAACAAUUUAAUCUCACUGAGAGAAUCGGAAAUAUGUCACAUUGCGUUUUGGCCUCACCAAACCAAAGCCUCAGUAGGACUUAGGGCCACGAAGACAACUAGACUUGCUGUAUUUACAGAAGAAGUACAGGAAUGGAUCCUGGAUCCUGUUCCAGAAUGGCUUGCUAAUAUGAUAAGAUCAACCAAACAGAAGCUGUGCAGUUAUUUAUCUAUGGGAAUCACCCCCACAAACUAAUGGUAAAUGGUUAUUAAUUCAGGAGUGGAAAAGUUUGAGGUACUCUUCUUUGUGGUUAUUCUGUAAGACUUUUUUAGACCAAAACGUAAUAGUUUGGAGUAAUCUGUGCUCAAGAUUUCUGGGUUAAGCUGUAAAAUAUUUAGCUGUCAUAAAAUGAUGAACAUGUUUGGUCUAUUAAUUAUAAGUGUCCCAUUGCAUGGUCCCUCUACUUUGAUUAAAUCAUGUGACUAAUCAAGGUGAAACCGGAGACAACUGACCUUUAAAAGUAGUUUCACAUUAAAUCUAUCUGGGCUAUAAUUCUCUCUCAUUUUAGCAGAGCAUAUUUCAGUACUUAUGAAUAUUUUAGAGUUCUAAAAUAUUUUAGACUUUUCUCCCUUUAGUGAAAGAGCUAUCCUGAAAUUAAUUAAAAAAAAUUUUUUUUGUAACAAGCAUGGUCCAUACACCUAGCUAGAGGCAAUUCAGACAGUAAGUAAUCCUAAUGUCCUAAUGUACACCUGUAGGUAGGAACUGUUUACAGCAUUAGAUGCAUCAAAAGUGACAGAGUGAUAAGGAUUGUAUCUGAAUUGGGGCUGAGGAUCUAAGACCUUGUCUAGUAGGAGAGUUGCUUCAAAUGGCACUUGAGGGCAAGGUUGAUAGUGAAGUUCUAUUCUGAUUUCUAGAAGAAAUAUGUGAUUCAGUGGGGGAAGCUUCUUCAUAUCCAUGUUUUAGAAAAAUAAAUACUGUAGACCCUUACUAUGUUCUUUUACG
rnacentral:lncRNA from 12 species